ACAUGAUCAGGGGUGCCCAAACUCUCUUCCCACUGUAAGUAUCAUAAAGUUCAGGAGUAGAAUAGUGUGAGCAUCAAAUCAGUUCUGAGCCACAGCCAGAGCUGCUGCAAUGUGGCCUAAAUUAUAAUCAUUCAAAGCAUUUUUCAUGGGCUCAAAGUUAUUUUUUGUGUGUAAGUUUAUGAAACAGCAGGGUCUGGUACACACAUCUGUUUAGUCAUUCUGUCCUAAAAGUGUCGAUUUAGAACCGAAAAAUGUCACUUUUCACCGUUUAUCGCUAGAGGGAAACUUUAGCGUCCACUUUCCAGUCGGUGUCGUUUUUAUUUAUUUACUUUUUAUUUCUGUUCAACAAUAAACUCGUCCCUUAUUCUCCUGAGUACCAGCAAUGUAAAUUUGUACGUUUUAGAAAAGAAAGAAAAGAAGUAAAACUUCAAGAUUUAAAGUUGUACAUUUAUAAGAUUAACGUGGAAGUGAGCAUAAAGAGAACGCCAUGCAGCAGCAGACAGACUAAACUCAGUUGAACAGGUGAGCUGAAUGUUUAUUGAUAACAUUAUAAAUGUUUGGAAGCUCCUUUGUUUGAUUUAUGAAUGUUUUAUUUAUUGAUGGACUGUUUGCAGGAUCUCUGCAGCUCAUUGAUGAAGACAUCGGUCUCCCUGCAGAUGUUUACUUCAAUCCUUUCUUCCUCCACCAAAGACCAGAUCUCUACGUCUGUGUGAUGCUUCUGUCUGAGGAUGAGGAGCACUUUCUGGAGGGGGCGUAUGUAACGGUUUACACAUUGAUGUUCGGAUGACAGGUUCAUGACGUAAUGAGACAAAUGGAUCUCUGGGAAAUUAAAGUAGCGGUCCUCUUCACCCAAA